UACGGAGGGUGCAAGCGUUAUCCGGAUUCACUGGGUUUAAAGGGUGCGUAGGAGGGCUGAUAAGUCAGCGGUGAAAUCUCCGGGCUUAACCUGGAAACUGCCAUUGAUACUAUCGGUCUUGAAUAUCGCGUAGGUAAGCGGAAUAUGUCAUGUAGCGGUGAAAUGCUUAGAUAUGACAUAGAACACCAAUUGCGAAGGCAGCUACUUCGCGGUUAUUGACACUGAGGCACGAAAGCGUGGGGAGCAAACAGG
rnacentral:rRNA from 1 species